rnacentral:lncRNA from 1 species
GUACUUGCUUCUCCUCACCUUCUACCGUGAUUAGGAGAAGCCUGUGAGAAUCGUGCCAGGUGCACACCAUAGAUCAGUGUCAAUAUUCAUGAUUACACCUCCUAUUUACCGCAAGUAACUGAAACUACAGAAAGAAAAACUGUGGAUGAGGAGUGGCUACUGUAAUUUGAGAUAAGUGGACCAGACAGAAGACUACAGUUCAAUAAGAAGGAAACACAUUCAUUUUCAGUAUUGUUAAUAAAGAAGCUUACCUAAAAGAAGGAAAUCAAAACAAGAGAUGGUCAUUACUUUUGGAGCCAACAAAUCACUAACUUUCAGCGUGACCUAUUGACUCCAGGUAAAGCAGCCCCAAAAGUGUGAUUUUUAAUCAUAUAUAAGUGAGCCCUCAUAACCUUAUUUCAUUUUAUCAUAUCUUUCACAUCUUCAAAUUCUCCCCAAAAGAAAGUUAGUUUUCAGCUAGUCACAUGAUUAGGAAUUUAGACACAUGAUUUAGCCCAUAAAGAGGAAGAUAUAAAUGACUAAAAAUAAACCUUAUGUAUCCACAUUUUGAG